rnacentral:rRNA from 1 species
UUGUUCCUGUACAAGCGUGUAGGAUGGGACGCAGGCAAAUCCGCGUCCUGUGAGUCUGAGGCGUGAUGUGGAGGUUCCGGAAACGGAACUGAAGCUGCUGACCCCACACUGUCGAGAAAAGCUUCUAGUUAGAGAAUUACCGCCCGUACCGUAAACCGACACAGGUAUGCGGGGAGAGAAUCCUAAGGUGCGCGGGAGAACCCUCGUUAAGGAACUCGGCAAAAUGUACCCGUAACUUCGGGAUAAGGGUAGCCGCUGUUGUGAAGUCUGAACAGACGGAGCAUGAGGCGGUCGCAGAGAAGAGGCCCAAGCGACUGUUUACCACAAACACAGGUGCCUGCUAAAGAGAAAUCUGACGUAUAGGUGCUGACACCUGCCCAGUGCCGGAAGGUUAAGGAAGGAUGUCCGGAGCAAUCCAAAGCAUUCGACCGAAGCCCCGGUGAACGGCGGCCGUAACAAUAACGGUCCUAAGGUAGCGAAAUUCCUUGUCGGGUAAGUUCCGACCCGCACGAAAGGUGUAACGAUUUGGGCACUGUCUCAACGAGGGACCCGGUGAAAUUGAAGUACCUGUGAAGAUGCAGGUUACCCGCGACUGGACAGAAAGACCCCAUGGAGCUUUACUGUAACCUGACAUUGGGUUCUGAUACAUCACGUACAGGAUAGGUGGGAGGCAUGGAAGCGAGGACGCUAGUCUUCGUGGAGCCGCCGUUGGGAUACCACCCUUGAUGUAUCGGAAUUCUAACCGUAGGAGUAACGAAACUCAGGACAGUGUCAGGCGGGCAGUUUGACUGGGGCGGUCGCCUCCCAAAGAGUAACGGAGGCGCCCAAAGGUUCCCUCAGCGCGGCCGGAAAUCGCGCGAAGAGUGUAAAGGCAGAAGGGAGCUUGACUGAGAGCCAAACACGGCAAUCAGGUACGAAAGUAGGGCUUAGUGAUCCGGUGGCAUCCAAGUGGAAGGGCCAUCGCUCAACGGAUAAAAGCUACCCUGGGGAUAACAGGCUAAUCUCUCCCAAGAGUCCAUAUCGACGGGGAGGUUUGGCACCUCGAUGUCGGCUCAUCACAUCCUGGGGCUGAAGUCGGUCCCAAGGGUCGGGCUGUUCGCCCAUUAAAGUGGUACGUGAGCUGGGUUCAGAACGUCGCGAGACAGUUCGGUCCCUAUCCAUCGCGGGCGCAAGAGAUUUGAAGGGGGCUGCUCCUAGUACGAGAGGACCGGAGUGGACGAACCAAUGGUGUACCAAUUAUCUCGCCAGAGGUAUAGUUGGGUAGCUACGUUCGGAAAGGAUAAACGUUGAAAGCAUCUAAGCGUGAAACCAGCCUUAAGAUGAGAUCUCUCAUAGAGCAAUCUAGUAAGACACCUUGGAGAAGACGAGGUUGAUAGGUCGGGAGUGUAAGUACAGUAAUGUAUUCAGCGGACCGAUACUAAUAUGUCGAGGGCUUGACC